GCCUGACUCAGAGUCGCUGUAAUGAAUGCUCGGGAAGUUAUGGAGAGAAAGGAGACGAUCCCAGUGAUUAAUGCCAAAGCCCUGUUGCCUGUGGAGAGGGUGAUGUUUGACUUUCUUGUACAGCUGCAGUUUGUGUGGUGAAGGUGCUCCCACAAUGUGGUUGGAUCCCAGUGAUUAAUGCCAAAGCCCCAUUGCCUGGGGAGAGGGUGAUGUUUGACUUCCUUGUACAGCUGCAGUUUGUGUGGUGAAGGUGCUCCCACAAUGUGGUUGGGUGGACAUUCAGAUGGUAACCUUAGUCAUUGUAACACCAAACUCUGACAGAAUUACUCAGUUCAUCAGGACCUGGAUAUUUGCAUUUAGUUAGAAUCCACCUUAUCUGCAAGACUUUGGAUUGAGAGAGGAAACCAGAGCACCCAGAGGAAGGCCACGCAGGCACACACUGGGAGAAUGUGCGAACACCACACAGACAGUGGAAUUGAACCCAGUCCAUUUAUUAAUCAGUGCUCUGACCAAUAAUGGUCACCAUCCCAAAUGUCAACAAAUGAUCUCCCUGGAACUCUACUUUGCAGGAACUAUGCAGUUGUUCUGAGCCCUUCAGAGGGAUUGAAGGGGAUGGAGAGAAAACAGCAACAGGGUUGAAUUUUGAUCUGUAAAAAUUCUCUCCAUCUUCCCCCUCUCUGCCUGUCUCCCUUGUCUGCUUGUUGCCCCCGUCUCCCCCUCUCUGUCUGCCCCCUCCCUGCGCCUGUCCCCGUUGCUUCCUCUGUCCCCACUGUCUGUUCCCCAUCUCUCUCUUCCCCCUUCUCUGUGCCACCCCUCUCUAUCCCGCCAGCCUCUCUGUCUCCCCACCCUCUGCCACCCCAUCCCUGCCUUCCCUCAUCUCCCUAUUCCCUAGGUCUGUACUCCCCCACCACAGGGAAAAGACGUUGUCUAUUUAACCUACCCAUGCCCGGCAUGAUUUUAUAAAUCUCUAUAAGGUCACCCCUCAGCCUCCGACACGCCAGGUAAAACUCCUGGCAACAUCCUUGUAAUUCUUUUCUGACCAUUUCAAAUUUGAGAACAUCCUUCUGAUCGGAAGACCGAAAUUGCAUGGCAUAUUCCAAAAGUUGCCUAAUCAAUGUCCUGUACAGCCACAAUAUGACCUCCCAACCCCUAUACUAAACACUCUGACCAAUAAAGGCAAGCAUUCCAACUGCCGCCUUCACUAUCUUAUCUACCUGCGACUUUACUUUCAAGGAACUAUGAAGCUGCAUAACAAGGUCUCUUUGUUUAGCAGCACUCCUCAGGAACUUACUAUUAACUGUAUACGUCCUGCUAAGGUUUGCUUUUCCAAAAUGCAGCACCUCACAUUUUUUUCUAAACUGAACUCUUCGGCCCAUUUGCCCAUGUGAUCCAGCUGCCUUUUACUCUGAGGUAAUCUUUUUCACUGUCCACUCCAACUCCAAUUUUGGUGUCAUCUGCAAACUUCCUAACAAUGCCUCUUAUGUUCACAUCCAAGUCAAUGAUAUAAAUGACAAAAAGUAGUGGAUCCAGCACAAAUCCUUGUGACACUCCACUGGUCACAGGCAUCCAGCCUGAAAAGCACCACUCAACCACCAUCCUCACUCUUCGAACUUUGAGCCAGAUUUGUAUCCAGAUGGCUAGUUCUCCCUGUAUUCCAUGAAAUCCAACCUUGCUAACCAGUCUCCCAGGGAACCGUAUCAAACGCCUGACUGAUGACCACUGCUCUGCCCUCAUCAAUCAUUUUUGUUACUUCUUCAAAAAAUUAACUCAAGUUCAUGAGAUGUGAUUUCUCACACGCAAAGCUGUUAAUAAUAUACAGGACUUAACUCUGUACACUGGGGUCUGCGUCACCCAGUUAUGGGUGUUCAUAUUGUGGAUAAAGUUCCCGUACACCAGCUUUGUGUUAGUGACUGUGUACGGAGUCUUAUUAAUAUCACCAACACAGGUGAGUUCCAUUAGAAAGGCAGUCCCUAUAUCCCUAACCCCCUCUCAUCUGCUCUCUCCCCUCCAUCCCCACCGUAGACAGUAAGUGGGAUGAGCUCAUGGAGUUUCCAUGUGAGUGAGAUUGAGAACAUCUUCCCUUCUUUCCACUAGCCCACCAGGAAAUGGUGGUAGUGUCCUUGCCUAUGGACCAGGAGGAUUGGGUUCAGAGUUGAGUAACAGCAUCUUUGAAGAGGCUGAUUAGAAAACCUGCCCAACCCACCAGGCCAUACUGUCUCCCAGCUGUCCCUGCCUAAGCCUCAACAGAACCUUCCUGUAGUUUCUCUCCUGUCAGACUCUCCCAUUGCUCAGUUUGUCCGGGAUCCCCUCCUGCUGCUACACUGCUCCUGUCCCUCACUGACCUGUCCAUUCCCCGAGUCCCUCCUCGUUCAUUCAUUGUUUACAAUCCCAUUGUCCCAGUCCUCCAGCCCCGCCCCCUCCACUCCAUUGGGAAGUAGCUGCUGUCAAUCACCCAAGCUCCUGUGUGAUCUGGAGCGUGUGCUGUCGGAGGGGAGACCAGUGCACAGGCGCGAUGCUGGGCAAUUGGCCACAGGGAGGGUCAGUGCCAGGGAGGGAGGCUAUGGAUGUGUGGGAUUAAUCUAUCAUUGGCAGCUCCCUAUCUUCCUCUGCUGGGAACAGUACCCGGGGAAUGGCCCCUCUCCUGGUAUCCUGACGAGUGGUCAAAUUAUCAAUGGGGGAGGAUUUUGCAGAAAGUUAUCAGAACACAUCUUGUGAAAAUUCAGGAUUGUUAUGGAAAGGGACAACGAUGGGCCUGCAAUUAGAGUUCAAAUUUGGUUCACUUCAGUUCAACCAGAUAGGAUUUUGUCAGUGUGCAGGAUGCAGUGUGUGCAGGAUGGUUCUCUUCAGAGGGUGGAGGUGGGGAAUAUAAAUGAGAGGUUCCAGAUUGAUUUUUUUCCCAAUGUGAUUCCGACAGGAAGGCAAGCCGGGGACCUGGGGAGAGGAUUCACCAACACCCGGGAGGCUCUGAGUCAGAAUCGUUGAUUUGGUUCUUAGUCUGCAGACCAGAGGUCGGUAACUGAAUUCAAGGAGAGGAGAGAGAUUGUGAAAACUGGGUGUGGAGGAAAGGAGUGUGGAGAUUGGUUUGGUCUUCAGUUAACAAGAGAGAGAAAUUGUGAGACUGAGAUUUAAAGCUUUGUGGGGAACAAGAAA